UUUUAUGUUUAUUAGAUUUGAUUUGCAACUGUGUAAUUCACACCACAGGAGGGCGCAACACGUUUAUGUUUAUUAGACCCAAUUUGCAAUGGUGUAAUUCACACAAAUCACCACAAACACUUUUAUGUUUAUUUAUUUAGCAGAAUGACAGAAACCGAAGCGCAGUGUUCAUCCGCUCCACUAGGCGGCGUGAGUGGGCUUCACUGUCAGAGCGACUCCUUUCGGCUCCUUGGCAACAUUGACGCUUGUUGAUGACAGACGCUACAACAUGUGCAGAUGACAGGCACACAACUGGACAUAUUUCAGCAAAUAAACCGAUAUCAUGCGGGAAUUGAGUGUCAUUUAACUUCUCGAAGGAAUGUGUUUGGACCAUUAUAUCCAGACAUCAGAAGCAGAGCUGUGGGACGUGUGGACAGACAUUGACUGCAAUGAUGGACGUCUCCUGAUGGACAGCAUAACCCCUGUGGCUGACUGUCCCAGAAGCUCCGGGGGGAGACCGUACUGGUAUCCCCCUCCUUUGGGCACGACACUCACACAACAUCCACUCCUAUCGCGGAGAUCUGGCUGGACUCGAACCAGUAACCUCUAAACCCGUGAGGCAGCGCUCUUACCUGUGAGCCACAGAUCUCUUGCUGAUGAUGUGCUGGAACUUAUAUUUCACUGUUAUCCUGAGAGUUUCCAAUAAAGCAGUUAAAGUGAGAUUCAAA